rnacentral:rRNA from 1 species
GACUAACGCUGGCGGCGUGCCUAACACAUGCAAGUCGAACGAGGUAUCAAUACCUAGUGGCAGACGGGUGAGUAACACGUAGUCAACCUACCUUUUAGUGGGGGAUAACUAGCCGAAAGGUUAGCUAAUACCGCAUACGCUCUAUGAGUGGCAUCACUUAUAGAGGAAAGCAGCAAUGCGCUAAGAGACGGGACUGCGUCCCAUUAGUUAGUAGGUGGGGUAAUGGCCUACCUAGACUUCGAUGGGUAGCUGGCUUGAGAGAGCGACCAG